rnacentral:rRNA from 1 species
GAUGAACGCUGGCGGCGUGCCUAAUACAUGCAAGUCGAGCGAACGGACGAGAAGCUUGCUUCUCUGAUGUUAGCGGCGGACGGGUGAGUAACACGUGGAUAACCUACCUAUAAGACUGGGAUAACUUCGGGAAACCGGAGCUAAUACCGGAUGAUAUUUUGAACCGCAUGGUUCAAAAGUGAAAGACGGUCUUGCUGUCACUUAUAGAUGGAUCCGCGCUGCAAUAGCUAGUUGGUAAGGUAACGGCUUACCAAGGCAACGAUGCAUAGCCGACCUGAGAGGGUGAUCGGCCACACUGGAACUGAGACACGGUCCAGACUCCUACGGGAGGCAGCAGUAGGGAAUCUUCCGCAAUGGGCGAAAGCCUGACGGAGCAACGCCGCGUGAGUGAUGAAGGUCUUCGGAUCGUAAAACUCUGUUAUUAGGGAAGAACAUAUGUGUAAGUAACUGUGCACAUCUUGACGGUACCUAAUCAGAAAGCCACGGCUAACUACGUG